UACGGAGGAUCCAAGCGUUGUCCGGAUUUAUUGGGUUUAAAGGGUGCGUAGGCGGAUAAAUUAGUCAGAGGUGAAAGCCGGUAGCUCAACUAUCGAAUUGCCUUUGAAACUGUUUAUCUUGAGUUUUGUUGAGGUAGGCGGAAUGUAUCAUGUAGCGGUGAAAUGCUUAGAUAUGAUACAGAACACCGAUUGCGAAGGCAGCUUACUAAGCAAUAACUGACGCUGAGGCACGAAAGCGUGGGGAUCAAACAGG
rnacentral:rRNA from 1 species